GACGUAGGGCGCGAGCGUUGUCCGGAUUUAUUGGGCGUAAAGAGCUCGUAGGCGGCUUGUCGCGUCGACUGUGAAAUCCCGCGGCUCAACCGCGGGUCUGCAGUCGAUACGGGCAGGCUAGAGUUCGGUAGGGGAGACUGGAAUUCCUGGUGUAGCGGUGAAGAUGCGCAGAUAUCAGGAGGAACACCGAUGGCGAAGGCAGGUCUCUGGGCCGAUACUGACGCUGAGGAGCGAAAGCGUGGGGAGCGAACAGG
rnacentral:rRNA from 1 species